AAUGCACCAAUUUGUAAGUCGCUCUGGACAAGAGCAUCUGCUAAAUGACUUAAA
rfam:Salmo salar isolate Sally breed double haploid chromosome ssa16, whole genome shotgun sequence.